AUUUGCCUGAAGAGUCCCAAAUAGGACGAAAGGCGUUUCAUCCUAGAU
rnacentral:hammerhead_ribozyme from 1 species